rnacentral:miRNA from 1 species
GGAAUUCCUGGUAGAGUGAUU